UGGGGAAUAUUGCACAAUGGGCGAAAGCCUGAUGCAGCAACGCCGCGUGAGGGACGACGGCCUUCGGGUUGUAAACCUCUUUUAGCAAGGAAGAAGCGAAAGUGACGGUACUUGCAGAAAAAGCGCCGGCUAACUACGUGCCAGCAGCCGCGGUAAUACGUAGGGCGCAAGCGUUAUCCGGAAUUAUUGGGCGUAAAGAGCUCGUAGGCGGUUUGUCGCGUCUGCUGUGAAAACCCGAGGCUCAACCUCGGGCCUGCAGUGGGUACGGGCAGACUAGAGUGCGGUAGGGGAGAUUGGAACUCCUGGUGUAGCGGUGGAAUGCGCAGAUAUCAGGAAGAACACCGAUGGCGAAGGCAGAUCUCUGGGCCGUAACUGACGCUGAGGAGCGAAAGGGUGGGGAGCAAACAGGCUUAGAUACCCUGGUAGUCCACCCGUAAACGUUGGGAACUAGUUGUGGGUCCAUUCCACGGAUUCCGUGACGCAGCUAACGCAUUAAGUUCCCCGCCUGGGGAGUACGGCCGCAAGGCU
rnacentral:rRNA from 1 species